rnacentral:rRNA from 1 species
AUGGCAUUAACAAACACUAACUGUCUUCCGAGUAUAAAAAAGGAUACCCUAGAUGAUAUGUUCUUCUGGGACACCCGAAGGCGGACAAUGUUUUAUAUUCAUGAGAUCCCUAAAGCGCUGAACGAUGAUGAUUUUGUGACAAGGGUGGAGAACCAUGCGUGGACACUACCAUGGGACAGUAAGCAUUUUGGACUCGUAAAGGCCAUGAACGACUAUUGUGAAGAAGUUGCGAUAAGAGAGCAACACAAUGGAGUUAAACCAGGUCCAGAAGUUCUGAAACAAUGUCAUUACAAUGGAAACGAUCCAGUUCACAAUGUACAGUGUAUGAGCGGAGCUUACACUCACCAAGACAAAAUAGAGGAAGCGAUUACAGAUGAUAACGACAAGCCAAUGUCGGUGGAUGUGGCUGUCCAGAAGGAGCAGCUAGAUUUGUGUCUUACCCUACGCAGGUUGCUAGCAGGAGAAGCCUUCUAG